rfam:Triticum aestivum genome assembly, contig: Triticum_aestivum_CS42_TGACv1_scaffold_223251_3B
AUACUACUCCCUCCGUCUGGAAAUACUCGUCGGAGGAAUGGAUGUAUCUAGAUCUAUUUUAGUUCUAGAUACAUUUAUUUAUUUUUAUGCAUUUCUCCGACAAGUAUUUGGACGGAGGGAGUACUCC